CCCACACACGUCAGGGUGUUUCUUCAACCAUAUCAAUGAACAGAUAAUCUUUGAAAAAGGCAUUCUUGGCAGUACUGGCAAAUUCCACCUCAGCUGAUUUUUUUUUAAGACUUGCAUUUUUAGCUAAACAGGCCUUUUCUUCUCUUUAUUUUUAAGUCAACAAUUCAUUUUAAUAUUUGCUGCUUGCAAUAGCAUAUGAAGUAUGGUUAAAAGCUACCAAAGCAAUUUCCUACCACAUCAUAAAUCUCUCUUGGCAGAGAAUAGAUCUCAGCAGCUUCUGAGUGAUAUUUAUUUCCCUACCCAUUUAGCCCUAGAAGGCUUACCAGUGUUCAUGGGACUGCAACCUGUGCAACAACAAGGUAAAUCACGGGCUGCCACGUUUUCCUUAAAUUUUGUAGAGUUUUCUUUUUUACUUAUGGAACAAACCUGCUCAAAACACAACGGAUCUGAGCCAUAAAACAUUAAACUUGUUUUGCUAGAUGUGUGUUUCAAACACGCUAGUAGUUCUGGUACAAGCCUUCAUAAUGUAACAGUUGAACUUCAAAGGCUUAACCUAUUCAGGGUUGCGCUCUUACUUUACUGCGAGUUUUAUUCUCAUACGAAUUCAGGUAGCUUGAAACUGAUAUGUUGUUGUAGCUGGCUUCAGUGUGUUCACUUCCAAACACCAUAUUGCAGAUCAGAUCCUUUUCAGAUUAUUGUUCCUUUCACUGCCAACUGUAUUGAGUUGCUUUCUCUUCUGUUUCUAGGUGGGUUAUGCAGAAAUAAAGAAGUAUCUGAUCACCAAUUGGGUUAGCCAUUUGGAUUCUUGGCCUGCCAAAUUUCAGCACUGUGGGACUAUUGUGGAAUAAACACAGUUUUGCUGGGGGCAGGCUUAAUCUAAAUUUGCCAUUCAUUAGUUUUUGAAGAGGAUUAGGAGGAACAAAGAGUUUGUAAUCUGUCAUGUGAAGAGAGAAGCUUUGGUGUCACUCAACUCAGGAUGAUUUGUGGAAUAAGAUUCCAUAGCAAUAAGGAAUAAUUCAAGAGAGGCCAGAUGUGGAUUUCAUUUCUCCUUGUCAAUAUGCUGCCAGGAGCUUCAUGACUGCAAUGAAUGUUUUCUGGACCACAGAUGCACAGCCCAUGAACUGGGAAUCAGAUUUUCAGUGGUUUAAAUCCUGGCAGAAAAAAGAUCGAUUUGAAUCUUCUUUGCUCCAGUUCCUUUUCUACUGUCUCUGUGGACUUGUGAGUUAAACGACAGAAAUAAUACUACUUGUCUCUAACAAAGUAAGAAGAAUAAAAUUCAAGCUGUCUUUAAAUUCUGCCCAACUUCCUUACCAAUGGCACUUGGCCUGAUAAGCAGUAUGGGAGGCCAUACUGAAUAUUACAUUGUUCACCAGGCACAUCCACAAUAUUACUUGGAGUCCUGGCAUAAAAUGCCUUAAAAGUUUUUCCUCACCAUAAAAAAACUAUUUUGAUGCACAAACUGUUAAAAAACUGAGCUCCUGAAUCAGGCUGAAGCCCUAUAAUUGUAAGGCUAUGCAGUGAAGAAAAUCAAUACAUUUGGCUGAGAGUUUUGUUGCAAACAAAGGAAAAACAGACAUAAGGUUUUCUAUUGCGAGUUGAAGAAAUAUGGUUUCGUAUUAGCACUUUUUCUCCUAUAUGAUCUAAAAAAGAUGAACUGCUGAUUUUUUCCCCAUAAGCAAAAUUCAAGUCUACUUCAUCACAUUCACAAGAACAGUCAUGGCUGUAGGUUAUAUAUAUAUACAUACAUUCAUUUUUCCCAACCUCCAACUCCCAAGAACCUCAGCCUGCAAGUCCAAAAUAGAGCACUAGGAUGAGGAGGCCUGACAUAUAUGGUAUAUGAAAAUAUUUCAAGAUCUUAAACUUUCCAUAGACCACCAGUCUGGCAAUUACACAUGUUAAAACGUAUGUACACUGGGGGAGUCAAUAUGGUGCUCUCCAGAAAUUGCUUAUUAGGAAGUAAUCCCCAGGUAUGUGGGGUAAGGCAGAUCCCUGCUGCUGAUCUAGGGCAGAGUUGGCUUCAGCAACUUGGUCAGAACUGUUGGUACCAGUCCAAAUUCUGGAAUGAAUUCAGGACCAUGGAUAGCAAUCCUGCAACUGAGGCAACAGACAAGUUACUACCUUAGCACCAGCUAACAGCUACUGUAGAGUUUUUAUAGCCUGUUUUAUAGACUGGCUAAUACAGCUCUGGGACCACCUCUUUUGUUGAAUUUAUAAAGUUCUGUUCCAUUUGGAAUGGUUUUACUUGUUUAAUAAUUGUAUUGGUUUUAUCUAUUCUUGCAACCAUACAUAAUAUUGUUGUAACCCACUCUGGGAUCUUACACCCACAGCUAAUGGUGCAUAGCUGAUAUGGAUUGCUUCCAGUUCAUUCCUUUUCUCUAUCAGGCCCCUUCUUUACAGGAUCUACAGAAAGGUGAGUGAAAUUCGAGAGAGAUUUAUAGAUCCAGCUAGAAUUGAGCCAGCUGGCCAGGGAAGUUUGCAAAUUCACAUGUACAAACUUUAGUCUCAGUUCCCCAUGGAAGAAAAUCUAUCCAUAUUACCCCACAUUAUCAUUACAAUCAGCUGAUGAGACCCUAAUGGUGGAUGGAUUUGGUUAGUGGCUACUGGAGAGAAGGCCUUUUCUGUGGUGGUGCCCAGAUACUAUGGAAGCACUUUCCCUCUGAGCUUAGGUGAACACCCACAUUAAUGACAUUUAGGUAUCUUUUACACAAGGAGAAGGGGACAACAGAGGACGAGAUGGUUGGACAGUGUGCUCGAGGCUACAAACAUGAGUCUGACCAGGCUGCGGGAGGCAGUGGAAGACAGGAGUGCCUGGCGUGCUCUGGUCCAUGGGGUCACGAAGAGUCAGACACGACUAAACGACUAAACAACAACAACAACAGGUAUCUUUUAAAAACAGAUUCAUGCACUCAGGCCUUUGCUGGGACUUGAUUUCAGAAUAUUAUAAAUUUUAACAUUGUCCUAGGUUUUCUUUUAAUCCCAUAUUUUAAUGUUUUAAUAUUGCUAUACACCUCCUUGAGACUUGAUGUGGGAAGCAGUAGAGAAAGUUUUAAAAAUAAAUAAAUAAAAACAAAAACCAUCUAUUAUGCUUUUACCACAUUGUAUACAGGCACAAUAGCUGGUAGUACAAAUAUAAACAAAAGUUUUCAAAGAAUAAUGCAGAAGUGUUGUUCAAUUUUAAUUCUUACUCAACACUUUUAAUGUUAUGAGCUUAAAGCUAUUUAUUUCACCCCUAAUAUUUAAACUGAAGUAUAUUUACUUGGAAUAAAACCCUAGCAGAAUCCACGAUACUUACUACUGAGUAAACCUGUCUAAGAUUGGGACAAUAGAUUGGAUUUUGAUUUUUUCUUGCCUAAGUGGUUUAGUGCCAGCUGUAAUUUUAGCUACACAUUGCCGAAUUUCCUCUGGGAAUUUCAGUGUUUUUCUUUAUCUGUGCAGAAAAGGUACUAGGGAAGAAUGUGUUUUAGCUGUCUGUAUUCUGCAAUGAACAAGGGACCAUUGGAGGCCUGAGGGGUACGGGAAAGGAAUGACAGGAUCCUUUUAAUUAGGUUGAAAACCAACUUGGUAAGAAUAGCCUGUCUGUAUUGGUAGCUCUAACUGACUGCUCUGAAGACAGAGUGUGCGGAUCUGGUGGGGGGUAAUUAUUGUCUGUGACAAUUUGACUGACAGGCUUGUCCCCUUGAGGAGACUCCAAAAAUGCUGCUUUCUGGCAAACCAUGAAUGGAAUAAAUUCACUUUCUGAGGACUCCAUUAAAGAAAGCACAGUGGAAGUUGGGCAACCUGCUAACGGUGGUGAUGGGGUUACAGCUCUCUCAGACAUCUAGUCUCUGAAAGGUGGCUCAGGUAGAUUGGCAGGAGAGGCAAGAGAAUGAGUUUAAGAAGCAAGAGUGAUUCACUUUGGGAACAGGACAAAACAAAAAACCCUGGAAUUGAUAAAAUUGCUUCCUUGUCCUUCCAAUUUAAUGUAACUGAUAGAUUUAUUUUUAUUUUUGGUUUCUUUAU
rnacentral:lncRNA from 1 species